AAAUUGAAGAGUUUGAUCAUGGCUCAGAUUGAACGCUGGCGGCAGGCCUAACACAUGCAAGUCGAACGGUAACAGGAAGCAGCUUGCUGCUUCGCUGACGAGUGGCGGACGGGUGAGUAAUGUCUGGGAAACUGCCUGAUGGAGGGGGAUAACUACUGGAAACGGUGGCUAAUACCGCAUAACGUCGCAAGACCAAAGAGGGGGACCUUCGGGCCUCUUGCCAUCAGAUGUGCCCAGAUGGGAUUAGCUUGUUGGUGAGGUAACGGCUCACCAAGGCGACGAUCCCUAGCUGGUCUGAGAGGAUGACCAGCCACACUGGAACUGAGACACGGUCCAGACUCCUACGGGAGGCAGCAGUGGGGAAUAUUGCACAAUGGGCGCAAGCCUGAUGCAGCCAUGCCGCGUGUAUGAAGAAGGCCUUCGGGUUGUAAAGUACUUUCAGCGGGGAGGAAGGUGUUGUGGUUAAUAACCGCAGCAAUUGACGUUACCCGC
rnacentral:rRNA from 3 species